rnacentral:rRNA from 1 species
GGGAUUGCCUCAGUAACGGCGAGUGAAGCGGCAAGAGCUCAAAUUUGAAAUCUGGCCCCUCCGGGGUCCGAGUUGUAAUUUGUAGAGGAUGCUUCGGGUGCGGCCCCCGUCUAAGUGCUCUGGAACGGGCCAUCGGAGAGGGUGAGAAUCCCGUCUGGGACGGGGUGUCCGCGUCCAUGUGAAGCUCCUUCGACGAGUCGAGUUGUUUGGGAAUGCAGCUCUAAAUGGGUGGUAAAUUUCAUCUAAAGCUAAAUACUGGCCGGAGACCGAUAGCGCACAAGUAGAGUGAUCGAAAGAUGAAAAGCACUUUGAAAAGAGAGUUAAACAGCACGUGAAAUUGUUGAAAGGGAAGCGCUUGCGACCAGACUCGCUUCCGGGGUUCAGCCGGCUUUCGGGCCGGUGUACUUCCCCGGGGGCGGGCCAGCGUCGGUUUGGGCGGCCGGUCAAAGGCCCCUGGAAUGUAACGCCUCUCGGGGCGCCUUAUAGCCAGGGGUGUCAUGCGGCCAGCCUGGACCGAGGAACGCGCUUCGGCACGGACGCUGGCAUAAUGGUCGUAAACGACCCGUCUUGAAACACGGACCAAGGAGUCUAACAUCUACGCGAGUGUUCGGGUGUCAAACCCGUGCGCGCAGUGAAAGCGAACGGAGGUGGGAGCCCCCUCGAGGGGCGCACCAUCGACCGAUCCUGAUGUCUUCGGAUGGAUUUGAGUAAGAGCGUAGCUGUGGGGACCCGAAAGAUGGUGAACUAUGCCUGAAUAGGGCGAAGCCAGAGGAAACUCUGGUGGAGGCUCGCAGCGGUUCUGACGUGCAAAUCGAUCGUCAAAUUUGGGUAUAGGGGCGAAAGACUAA